UACGAAGGGGGCUAGCGUUGCUCGGAAUUACUGGGCGUAAAGCGCGUGUAGGCGGCUAUGCAAGUCGGAUGUGAAAGCCCUCGGCUCAACCGGGGAAGUGCACCCGAAACUGCAAAGCUAGAGUCUCGGAGAGGAUCGUGGAAUUCUCGGUGUAGAGGUGAAAUUCGUAGAUAUCGAGAGGAACACCGGUGGCGAAGGCGGCGAUCUGGACGAUGACUGACGCUGAGACGCGAAGCGUGGGAGCGAA
rnacentral:rRNA from 1 species